GGUGUCCAAAACAUAGUCACGGGAGUCGCUCAUGUGGUCACGUACCACGUUUUGAACGUUUCGUACCCAAACGGGGUACAGAGUCGAUCCCAACGCCAUGCGAAACGCUCUCUGGUACGGCUCCUUGGCGAUCCGAGCAAUCACCCGGUACGAUGUCGGGAAUGCGUUUCUGUCGAAUUGGAUCGCAGCAAUUCGUCGAUUGGGUCGACGAUUGCAAAAAAAACGGCGAUUGGAUCACCGAUUGGGCGGGAAUGGUGAUGUCGAAUCCAAAAAGUAAUGAUUCAGAAAAAAAAACACUUCGACAAUUGGUUUGAUUCCUCGAUACUAGGUACACCGUAUCGGGACCAAUGGUACGCCGUACCGGACACAUACCGAAAUGAACCUACCCCCCUCGUACCCGAUACGCCCAACCUCAUGAAUCCCGUUCCCGUUCCCUGUUCCCAUACCAGACCGUACCACGAACUAUGUGACUAUGGUCCAAAAUCAAGAUUUUUUUUUUUUAAUCCUAUAAUUACUUUUGCAUACAAUAAAUAACUCAAGAACAAUCAAGAUCCAAGUUGCAUGCUUUCUAUAAAUGAAAAUAGAGAUGGAUAAAUCUUCACUUUAAUCACUUCAACAUUGGUGUGAAUCAUGUCUUCAAUAGCCCUCUCUAUUUAAUGGCCCCUAGUAACGAUCAUAUCUCACCUUCAUAUAAUUCCAUAACCAAAGGAACAACAUUAUCAUCUUCAUAAGUGUCUUAUAAGCCCCCAAUAUUUUGAUGUGGUGGCAUUACUGACAUGUUUCAUAAUCUCAACUUACUUCCUUACAUCUUCAAUAUGCGCCCUUGUUCUAAGCUUCUUUUUUGAAAUUGAUUUACAGGCAAUACUUUACAGGUAGAUUUAUCGGUACAUAUUGUUUGAGUUAUAGAUAUUGAAUGUCAAAAUCAUUAAAAUGAUAAAAAUCACAUAUUUUAAGGCCUACAACAUAAGUAUGCUCUAAAAAAAUAUAUCUUACUCGAUGCAUGUCCCCUAGUUAAUCAUUAACCCAAACUCUUUUCUCAAAGACUAUAAUAGUCAAGUUUUUAAAAAAAAAAGUAAUAAUAAUAAUGAACUUAUAGUUGUGGUCUUCCUCUAGCAUACAAUUCCAACAUGCAUUAAUAAUGCCACAUAAGAAAUGUGGAAAACUUUAAUCUCAUAUAAAUUAUUAUUAUUAAUAAAAUAAAAACAUACAUUAAAGGAAUAGUUGUUCUGUUGAGCAGCGUAUUAUUCCAUAAGAUAAGCUUGCUUUUAGUGACAUUCCCCAAAUUAAAAUCAUGCUCAACAACUAUAAUAAACGAUUCAAAAUAAAAUUAAAGCAGUAAUAAAAGUUCAGAUGAGUAUAAUCAGGUAUAAUUAGAGGGAAAAAAUACCAUUGAAGAGUGUUAGAAAUACACAAAUGUUGUGGCUAAAAAGAUAUAAAUUAUUGAAUUAGAGGGAAAAAAUUACCAUUGAAGAGUGUUAGAAAUACACAAAUGUUUUGGCUAAAAAGAUAUAAAUUAUUGAAAAUUCGGGAGAAUGUGUCGCCUUUAAAUUCACCAAGAAAGCCAAGAAACAUCAUGUAGAUCAUAACCCUUAACUAUAUUAGUAAACCAGUCAUACUUGUCUUGAAAUCUUCAACAUCCUCACUCAAGACUUAAAAAGAGACAUGAGAGAGAUGUUAAGAUGAUGUUACCUCAGAAGGGGUUGGCCAUGAAUGAUGUUGAUCAUAAUGAAGACAUUUGUAGGGAUCAUUAUAAAAAAAAUUGGAUGGUUGGCCAAAAAAAGAAAGAAAAUAGCAUAUUAUCAUAAAACUACAACAACAGGUCUUUUGUCUUAAGCUAAUCAAGAUAGGCUAAAAAUGAUAAUUGGUCUUUUUCUUAAGCUAAUUAAGAUAGGCUAAAAAUGAUAAUUUCUUUGGGAGAUGUUUAAGUCUUGUAUCAUCAGAUUAUUCCGCUGAUCUUUAUAUAAAAAUUGUUAUCAAAUUUAUUUUAAGAUGUCGUUUUCAUCAUAGAUCGCCUGGAUCAUGAACCACUCAACAUAACUAAUCUGUGAAUAAAAAACAACAAAAAAUCCACAAUAAGCUAUGAUAAAUCCACAAAAAUCAACAAAAUGAAAUCUUUACAAACCCAUGACUAAAUGAUCAUUUUACCCUCAAAUAACAAAAAAAAAAAAAAAAAAAACCAAAAAAAAACAAA